rnacentral:rRNA from 1 species
CAGUAGUUAGUAGUUGGUGGGUAAAGGCUCACCAAGCCAACGAUCUGUAGCUGGUCUGAGAGGACGACCAGCCACACUGGAACUGAGACACGGUCCAGACUCCUACGGGAGGCAGCAGUGGGAAUUUUUGGACAAUGGGCGCAAGCCUGAUCCAGCCAUUCCGCGUGCAGGAUGAAGGCUUCGGGUUGUAAACUGCUUUUGUACGGAACGAAACGGCGAGCUCUAAUACAGUUUGCUAAUGACGGUACCGUAAGAAUAAGCACCGGCUAACUACGUG